UACAGAGGUGGCAAGCGUUGUUCGGAAUUACUGGGCGUAAAGGGCGCGUAGGCGGUUCGAUAAGUCCCGUGUGAAAUCCCUCGGCUCAACUGAGGAAUGGCACGGGAAACUGACGGGCUUGAGUUCGGGAGAGGGAUGCAGAAUUCCAGGUGUAGCGGUGAAAUGCGUAGAUAUCUGGAGGAAUACCGGUGGCGAAGGCGGCAUCCUGGACCGGCAUUGACGCUGAGGAGCGAAAGCUAGGGGAGCAAACGGG
rnacentral:rRNA from 1 species